CUAACACACGCAAUUACACCAUUCAUCAACCUCACUUAGACAUUUCAGUCCCCACAACCACACGCCAGUGUGCCAGACUCCAAAGCCACACGAAUCCUGCGUCGGAGACAAGGCACUGGUCUAUUCAGCACGCUGAGAUGGAUUUUUCAGCUUUCCGGAAAGCUACUCUAUAACCUAAGAAUUUUUGCCUCUGUUCCCGAGUCUGCCUAUACCAUGCAUUGUUUGAACUGGGUGAGUCUAAAAUACCCUCUCUUCCUCUUCACGGUUUGAGAGAGGAGAGCUCCAGGGAAAGCCACGGCUAAAGUCCCUGGAAAGUCUCCUCUUGGAAUGCAGCAAUGCGUGCUUUCUAGAUGGUAGAUAAUUUGUGAAGCAGCAACAGAAAUGGAUUGGGGAGAGAGUGGGCUGAUGACCCCUUUAACUCUCCCAGAUGUGAGACUGCUGCCGGACACCACCUUCAGACUCUCAGGCAGGCUACAGGCUCGCAGCAGAAAGAUUGACAGACUUUUGCCAGGCAGCCUUCUGGACAGCAGGCCGGCUUAGGUAUGCGAGGCAGCUAGGGUUAAUUGUUCUGCUGGUCCAAACUGCUGUGUUGCAAAGGCGCCUUUCUCCACUGUCCUAUAAUUGUCCCGUUUGCUGUGAGCUGGCGAGCUAACAGUGAAAUCCUACAGACGCCUUCACUUCAUUAUUGUAGUGUAGAGAUCGCACUGCAUGUGGGCAGAGACUCAGCAGUACCUACUGACUCAGAAUUCGCCACUGUAGUUUCAAUCGCUCAUACUAACGUAAUGUGUGUAUAUAAAGAAUAUGUCGUCUGACCUCCAGGCAUUUAUCAUAGGAACUCCAUACAUAUUACACACACCUACUGACAGGAAUCUGUAUAAAACACUCACUCUGUACUAUCCUUUGUCUACUUCACAAGUGCCAUCCUACGGUAAUUUAGAACAUAGCUCUUUGCCUAUUGUUUUAGGUAGAUCUUGCUUUUCCUCCGCCAGAGUACAAUGUAUAGGAUUUCUCCCCCCAAGUCAGUGAUCUGCACAAUUCUAUAUGAACUUCCCGGAGCAUCAAAAUAACGCCCCUACUGCGGUCAGGAUAUAGGUCACCUCUUUAAAGGAAACACGACCCUUCCAAAAAUAUAUAACAGCUCUGACGUAAAAAAAAUCUUUUGUCUCCGGGCAUCCUUUGUCGGGGUAAAUAAAACGUGACAGGCGCUGAGUACAAUAAUAAUAAUAAUAAUUAAUGUAUUUUUUAAAAAGCAGAGAAAAUACAAAUUCUAUGUCUGGUCUGGUUUUCCAUCACAGCUCAGGCUAGGAGAGUGGAG